rnacentral:lncRNA from 1 species
UGAUCUCUUUUUUUCCUCAUGACUUUGGGAGGUGAGUGCUAUAAUGAAUUACCUUUAUUUUACAGGUGAGGAAACCAAGGCAGAGGUUGUGACUUCCCCAGUAAAUGCUGGAAUAAUUAAAAUUGCAGAAGCCAAGAGUGUGAAGGAAAUGAAAAACCAAAAAACCAUCUAGUGAUUUUUCUUGUUUCAUUCCAGAUUAUUUUCCAAAAGGGUGACCUUCCAUUGGAACCCAUCACUCUCUUCUUUUUCGGAAAUUCUUUCAGUGGCUUCUCCCCACUUGUCCUCAAGCUCUCCUUCAGUUGUCCAGGAUUUUUCAGUCUAGGUGGGUCACCAGAUCUUAUCAAAUAAGGCAGAGUCCACCUCUCUCCAGCUAGCCU